UACGGAGGUGCGAGCGUUGUCCGGAAUCACUGGGCGUAAAGGCGCGUAGGCGGCCUGAUAAGGUAGGGGUGAAAUCCUGCGGCUUAACCGGCAGGGCUGCCUUCUAAACUGUCGGGCUAGAGCACGGUAGAGGAAGAUCGGAAUUCCGGUGUAGCGGUGGAAUGCGUAGAGAAUCGGGAAGAACAUCAGUGGCGAAGGCGGUCUGCUGG
rnacentral:rRNA from 1 species